rnacentral:rRNA from 1 species
UACGUAGGGGGCUAGCGUUGUCCGGAAUCAUUGGGCGUAAAGGGUGCGUAGGCGGCGUGGUAAGUCGGGUGUGAAAUCUCGGAGCUUAACUCCGAAACUGCAUUCGAUACUGCCGUGCUUGAGGACUGGAGAGGAGACUGGAAUUUACGGUGUAGCGGUGAAAUGCGUAGAUAUCGUAAGGAAGACCAGUGGCGAAGGCGGGUCUCUGGACAGUUCCUGACGCUGAGGCACGAAGGUCAGGGGAGCAAACGGG